rnacentral:rRNA from 1 species
GAGACAGCAGUAGCCACGGUAAUACGAAGGGUGCAAGCGUUAAUCGGAAUUACUGGGCGUAAAGCGUGCGUAGGCGGUGAGUUAAGUCUGCUGUGAAAUCCCCGGGCUCAACCUGGGAAUGGCUGUGGAUACUGGCUCGCUAGAGUGUGUCAGAGGAUGGUGGAAUUCCCGGUGUAGCGGUGAAAUGCGUAGAGAUCGGGAGGAACAUCAGUGGCGAAGGCGGCCAUCUGGGACAACACUGACGCUGAGGCACGAAAGCGUGGGGAGCAAACAGGAUUAGAUACCCCCGUAGUCCCUGUCUCUUAUAC